UGAAGCCAAACCUCCUGCCAGCAGUGAUC
rnacentral:piRNA from 1 species